UAUAACCUAAGUUAUCAACUAAGAGCACAUUAUGAACAAAAGUUUCACCAUCCUUACCAACAUCACCUAUUCCAAUUGUCUUAGCUUUCACAUCAUCACCAAAUGUCACCUUCCCACUUGAUUUUGAUUUCAGCUUUAUGAACAAAGAAGGAUCACCAGUCAUAUGCCUUGAGCAGCCGCUAUCAAUAAACCAUUUUGACUUGUUUGAGCCUUUUUCCUGAAAAGAGAAAGUGUUUGGUACCCUUUUUAAUUUUUGGGUCCACAAUAGUUAGCAUUGUAUCUAACUAACCACAUGCAUUUCAUCCCUUUGUUCAAAUUUCUUUUCACAUAGCAAUCACCUUUCAAAUACCCUUUUUGACAACAAA
rnacentral:lncRNA from 1 species